UGCCACAGUACUUCAUAGAAUCAUUUCUAUAGUAAACAUCCACAACUGUACUUCUCAAAGAAGCUACAGACUCCAACCUGGCUGAUGAGCUGAACCGCGGUCCCCAAGAGUGAUGCCGAUAUGGUGGCAGCGCAAGCUGUUGCUGGUGAUGAUCUCGCCCUGCUCGAGCGUCUGGCUUCGGCCGGCUCUUUCAGGUGGGCGCUGUCGGUCGUCUGACAGGU
rfam:Mycosphaerella eumusae strain CBS 114824 scaffold72, whole genome shotgun sequence.